CCCUUAGAUGUUCUGGGCGGCACGCGCGCUACAAUGAUGCAUUGAAAAAGUCUUCUGACCUUAGAAGGUUGGGUAUUCUCCAAAGUGCAUCGUGAUGGGAAUAGUUUAUUGCAAUUUUUAAUCUUGAACGAGGAAUUCCUAUUAAGUACAGGUCAUCAACUUGUGUUGAUUACGUCCCUGCCCUUUGUACACACCGCCCGUCGCUCCUACUGAUUGAGUGUCUCGGUGAAUUCUUUGAUCUUCUGUCGAUUCAGUUCACUGAUCCGACGGUGGAAAGUUGAAUGAACUUCGUCACUUAGAGGAAGGAGAAGUCGUAACA
rnacentral:rRNA from 1 species